rnacentral:lncRNA from 1 species
CAGCCAGGUGCCGGGACUUGGCGUCAGAAGACAGCUGUGAGGCUUUUCUCUGCCACCGGCAGUGAUGGGCAUGAACGCUAUCCUGAGAUUCCUGGAACAGAUGUAGUGUCAUAUGAAAGUAGCUGUGAUUUCUAACUGGUGACCAAGUACCAGGAAAAGUUUGCUUUCCUUGACCUCUAAAAAGAUUCAGAAUAAAGGCUGGAAAAAUGAGAGGAUAUCAUGAUGAAGAUGCAAUUCCAUUCCUGGGUAUAUAUCCAAGAGAGCUGAAAACAGCACUCAAGAAAUAGUUCCACACAAAUGUUUGUAGCAGCAUUAUUCACGAUAGCUAAAAAGUGGAAGCAACUCAGAUGUCCGUUAUUGGAGGCAUGGUUAAACAAAAUGUAGUCUUUUCAUAUAUUGGACCAUUAUUCAGCCAUAAAAAAGAAUGGAGGACUGACACGCGUUACAACCUGGAUGAAUCUCGAAAAUAUUAUGCUAAGUCGAAGAAGGCAGAUACAAAAGGUCACAUGUUGUACGAUUCCAUUUAUAUAAAAUGCCCAGAAUAGGGGCAUUCAAAGAGACAAAAAGCAGAUUAGUGGUUGUCAAGGGUCAGGGUGGGAGAUGGGGGAGGGAGAAUGGGGAAUCGCUGCUUAAUGGGUAUGAGACUUUCUUUUGGGGUGCUGGAAUGUUCUGGAACUAGAUGGAGGUGGUGGUUGCACAACAUUGUGAAUAUACUGAAUGCCACUGAAUUGUUCCUUUUAAAAUGAUUAAUUUUAUAUUAUGUGAAUUUCAUUUUAAUUAAAAAGAAUAAUGGGGGUGCUAAGUGGUAUGAUGACAUCCCAGAGUGUCACCUACAGCCUGGGAGUCCUUGAUGCACCAGCCACUUGUGACCCCCCAUCCCCACAUUUAUGCUGUAUCUGUGCAUAAUGCAUUUAUGAUGGUUCUAAGCCCCUUAUGGGAACACUGUGUACAUUUCCACCUCAGAGUAUAUUUCCAUGAAGGAGGCAGGCAGAGUCUUAUUAUCCCUCUUUGGAAUUUCUCCAUCAGGUAUGCCCCAUCUGCUGCUGGUAAACUUCCCCAUUCCAACCUUCAUGGUGCUGGAUUCCUGCACCUGCAGUAGUUCUUAGGUAAAAGACUUGUUUGCACAACAUGUCUGCAUUAGGAUGUGCAUACAUUUCUUGGCAGAGUGGGGUUGGGUGUAAGCAGGCAGGGGAGUCAGAGAACAGAAUGGAAAUGCAUUAACAAAGAGGGUCUUGUUAUGGGGUUCUGAAAAGGACAGGAUGGUGAUGGCUUUGGGGAAUGAGAAAAAGUCAUCUCUCUUUUUCUCUGGGGAACCAGAGAAAAAGUCCAUGGUCACAGAGAAAUGGGCAAUUAAUAUGAAGACAGGGGUCUUAGGUUGAGGAGGAGUGAAUUUGUUGAAGCCAUGGUUGCUGUGCUAUGCAGUUUUGGAGGCACACUCACAUCAUGGCUAUGCACAUAGAGUUCUUGAGGUGGUAUAGUGCACAGCCUUUGCAACUGUACAUGGUGUCUUGGGUUAAAAUCUAUUCAUCAGGCCAAUCAAUUAGCUUAUUUUUUGGUCUCUUAGAUGUUAGCAUAAUAUAAACAACUUCAAUGCUAAAUACUACAAUUUUAGUUACUGAUGAUAAAAUAUGUGUUUCUAUAUAUCUAUUAAUCGAAACCAAAUUCUUGUUAAUGUUAAAACAUUUCUGUUAAAGUUCUUAAGCAAUCCUGUAAAACACUGCAGUCUGUUAGUUUGGCCAAUAUAACAUCUUGGUUAUUUGGUCAAUUGGUAUUAAUUGAACAGAUUUGUGGCCAAUGCCCCAGGCCCCGAGCAAAGCCGUUGUCUGGCAAACGUCGACAAUUGAGAUUGUAGGUAUACCACCGUUUGCACAAGCCUAACCCUUCUUGAUCAAAGACAAAUCAAAAUCCCAAGGAGACUGUUGCGGGAAGUCAGGGACCCCAAACGGAGGGACCGGCUGAAGCCAUGGCAGAAGAACGUGGAUUGUGAAGAUUUCAUGGACAUUUAUUAGUUCCCCAAAUUAAUACUUUUAUAUUUCUUAUGCCUGUCUUUACUGCAGUCUCUAAACAUAAGUUGUGAAGAUUUCAUGGACAUUUAUCACUUCCCCAAUCAAUACCCUUGUGAUUUCCUGUGCCUGUCUUUACUUUAGUCUCUUAAUCCUGUCAGCCGAGGAGGAUGUAUGUCACCUCAGGACCAUGUGAUAAUUGCAUUAACUGCACAAAUUGUAGAGCAUGUGUGUUUAAACAAUAUGAAAUCUGGGCACCUUCAAAAAGAACAAGGUAACAGCAAUGUUUAGGAAACAAGAGAGAUAACCUUAAACUCUGACUGCCGGUGAGCUGAGCAGAACAGAGCCAUAUUUCUCUUCUUUCAAAAGCAAAUGGGAGAAAUACCGCUGAAUUCUUUUUCUCAGCAUGGAACAUCCCUGAGAAAGAGAAUGUGCGCCUGCAGGUAGGUCUCUAAACUGGCCCCCCUGGGCAUAGCCAUCUCUUAUGGUCAAGGCUGCAGAGAUGAAAUAGACUCCAGUCUCCCAUAGCGCUCCCAGGCUUAUUAGGAAGAGGAAAUUCCUGCCUAAUAAAUUUUGGUCAGACCAGUUGAUCUCAAAACCCUGUCUCCUGAUGAGAUGUUAUCAAUGACAAUGGUGCCUGAAACUUCAUUAGCAAUUUGAUUUCACCUCGGUCCUGUGGUCCUGUGAUCUUGCCCUGCCUCCACUUGCCUUGUGAUAUUCUAUUACCUUGUAAAGUACUUGAUGUCUGUGACCCACACCUAUUCACACACUCCCUCCCCUUUUGAAAAUCUCUAAUAAAAACUUGCUGGUUUUUGUGGCUUGUGGGGCAUCACAGAUCCUACCAACGUGUGAUGUCUCCCCCGG